AUUACGUUAUACAUAUAUAUAGACAAAUAAAUAAUUAUGUGCACAGGUGGUUCACCCAGCAGCAACGGUUCGCAAGCCGGCGAUGGCAACGAGGCCGAGCAACAACAGCCCGCGACGGAUCAACCAGAACUUCCGCAGAGAACAGCUAUCGUUUCAUCAACUCCCGAAGAGAUUCUUGCCGAAUAUGGUGAAAAUCUCAAACUGCUCACUCUAAAUUCUCAGGUGUCCGAACUACUGACCAUUAUACGUGAUAAGAAUACCACACGGAGUGAUUUCAAGUUUUAUGCUGACAGGCUUAUCCGGCUCGUUAUCGAGGAAUCUCUGAAUCAGCUGCCCUACUCGGACUGCGACGUGGAAACACCGACGGGCGCCAUAUAUGAGGGCCUCAAGUAUCGUUCCGGCAACUGUGGCGUCUCCAUCAUUCGGUCUGGCGAGGCCAUGGAGCAGGGCUUGCGUGAUUGCUGUCGUUCCAUACGCAUUGGCAAGAUUCUAGUCGAAUCGGAUGCGAAUACGCAUGAGGCCCGAGUGGUCUACGCACGUUUUCCCGACGACAUUGGCAGUCGGCAAGUGCUGCUCAUGUAUCCCAUAAUGUCCACGGGCAACACGGUGCUGCAGGCCGUCAAUGUGCUGAGGGAGCACGGUGUUCCAGAGAAGUGCAUCAUCUUGUCGAAUCUUUUCUGCACACCCAUCGCCGCUCGGACCGUUGUCAAUGCGUUUCCCAAACUGAAGAUACUCACGUCCGAGCUACAUCCGGUGGCGCCCAAUCAUUUUGGCCAGAAAUAUUUUGGUACUGACUAGAUAGAGAUAGGUAUCCAACAGCAACAACAGCUCACAGACCAACUUGACAACGAAGCUCAGCCUCAGCUUGGGAUUGUAGACGGUGCUUGAAUUGGAGGACGGGCGAGAAGAUCCAACAACAACGACAUGCAAUUAUCUGCCCCGUUUCAAAUGUGGCUUUUAAUAUAUUCAAUUCGCAAGAAAAAAAGUGACUUGCUUAACUUAUAUAUAUAUAUCUAAAAUGUAAAUACAAACUGAAUAAAAUCGCUAUAAACGUGUAAA